GUAAUGCAGACCUCACCCCUCGAUUUCCACCGGGUCCGUCUGCGGCGUGUUACGGCUGCGCCAUGGUUUUGAUUCCGGCUCCUCCGGCGUCAUAACUACCGGGUGCAUUUCAGAAGCCUUUCCAGAGCCUUCAGAAGCGGAGCGUCUUGGGCUUCCGGCUCGCAGUUUUUGUUGAUU